GGGCGCUUGAGACUUUCUGUCUCUAGCACACCUGAGGCAGAAAGAGAAAAGCCCCGAGUCGAUAUUAAUCAACCCGAGGCCCUUUCAUGCAUAGACAACAUGAUAGUAGCCUCUUACAUGCCGAAAGGCAAGGAGCCGAAAUCAUG
rnacentral:antisense_RNA from 1 species